rnacentral:lncRNA from 1 species
GCUUUGGGCUCUAGCUGCCUGGGAAGAUAGCACACGUCCCUGUCCCCCACUCCUGCUUGCUCUCCUGUGCCCGCUCUGCCCUGGCAUACUCUUGCGUGCUCAUCUUACAGAGCGUCUCCUCUCAGUCUUACCUCUUUGCCCUCCUCCAACCAACUGGGAUGAUUCUCUCAACGGACUCCCUUGGAAUUGCCCCAAACUCUUCCAGUCACAUCUCUGCAGGGCAUUUGGAGACUGGGCAGCCGGCAGAUGUCUGUGGAGUGUCUGUGUCAUCACCUGAAAGGGUGCCCUCAUUCAGAGGGUGACUGAGGAACAGAGGAAAGCCCACAGCAGAGGAGCGAGCCUACAGCUGUGGAAGGGAGUCGAGGUGAGCAGGGCAGGAGAACAAGGAAAACACAUACAACGUGUUACCUCCAAACACUUCUGUCCCAGCUGCCCGCAGUCCUCCCGGCCGGACUCUAGAAAAGGAAGAAAAGCAGGAGGAGAAGUAAAAUCCUGGAUAAAUCCAGCCUGGCCGAGGAUUCACACUUUUCCGGUGGACCACGGUUCUCUGACUAUGCACCAACACAUGGCUGAGGGAGAGCAGAAAGAGAAAUUCAUACGCAGCUGCAGGACACUGAAGAUUCUUGGCAUCUAUGAAUAACGAAGACUUCCACGGCUGCCGCAGUGAGUGGCAAGGGAUGUGGCCAGCCGCCAGGAGUGCUGCGGCCAGGGCGGCCGGCAAGCCCAUGCCCACCAGUCACGACCCUGCAGCUACAGCUCAUCACACCCCCAAACCAAAAAUGGUCAGUUUUUUUUUUCAUUUUUCAAGAGAAAUUGCAAAUCUCGCUCUUUACAU